rnacentral:rRNA from 1 species
UACGAAGGGGGCUAGCGUUGCUCGGAAUCACUGGGCGUAAAGCGCACGUAGGCGGAUUGCUAAGUCAGGGGUGAAAUCCUGGAGCUCAACUCCAGAACUGCCUUUGAUACUGGCGAUCUUGGGUCCGGGAGAGGUGAGUGGAACUGCGAGUGUAGAGGUGAAAUUCGUAGAUAUUCGCAAGAACACCAGUGGCGAAGGCGGCUCACUGGCCCGGUACUGACGCUGAGGUGCGAAAGCGUGGGGAGCAAACAGG